rnacentral:rRNA from 1 species
AGAGUUUGAUCCUGGCUCAGGAUGAACGCUAGCUACAGGCUUAACACAUGCAAGUCGAGGGGAAACGACAUCGAAAGCUUGCUUUUGAUGGGCGUCGACCGGCGCACGGGUGAGUAACGCGUAUCCAACCUGCCCAUCACUUGGGGAUAACCUUGCGAAAGUAAGACUAAUACCCAAUGACGUCUCUAGAAGACAUCUGAAAGAGAUUAAAGAUUUAUCGGUGAUGGAUGGGGAUGCGUCUGAUUAGCUUGUUGGCGGGGUAACGCCCACAAGGCGACGAUCAGGUAGGGGUUCUGAGAGGGAACGGUCCCCCANAUUGGAACUGAGACACGGUCCCAAAUCCGUACGGGAGCA